rnacentral:lncRNA from 1 species
AUGAUUUCAAGCUCUUCAGAUUGCUGAGCUCUGAGGGGAGAAGACCGGUGAGGGAAUUGACUUGGAGGAACAAUGUGUCGAGGUUUUGGAGGUUGCCGAUCUCCGGCGGGAUUUCGCCGGAGAGGUUGCAGUUCGCGACGUCGAGGCGGAUUAAGUUCGUUAGGUUUCCGAUCUCGGCAGGCAAGCUGCUUUGGUAACUGUUGUAGUACCCGAGGUAGAGCUGUUUGAGGCUGGUUAGGUUUCCGAUCUCCGGCGGGAUUCUUCCGACUAGCUCGUUACCGGAGAGAGCGAGGUACUCGAUGAACUCCCACUGUCCGUACUGCGGCGGGAUCUCCCCGCCGAAGAAGUUCCCUCCGAGGUGGAGGUGGCGGAGGUUGGGCAUUUCAGCGACGGCGAGAGGCAAGUCACCGGUCAUAUUGUUGUUGUAGAUGUCGAGUACCUCGAGGUUCUUGAGCUGGGCUAGCUGCGAGGGGAAAGUAUCAUUAAACCCAUUGUUGGAGAGAUUGAGGUAGCGGAGGUCGGUGGCGGCGGAGAGCUGCGGCGGGAUGGGGCCAGAGAAUUUGUUGACGUCGAGGGAGAGGUUCUGGAGGUAGCGGAGGUGGGAGAUAUCCGGGGAGAGGGUUCCCGUGAGGGAGAGGCUAGAGAGGUCUAAUGAGGUCACGUGACGGCUGGAGAAGUCGCACGUGACUCCCGGCCAGGAGCAGAGGUCGGCGGAGGAGUUCCAGGCGGAAAGGAAGGAGUUUGGGUCGUCGGUGACGGCGGAUUUUAGGGAGAGUAGAGCUUGGGUUUCGGAUAAUACGCGGCCGGUGGAAGUUGGGAUGUGGAGGUGGAUGAGGAGGAAGAAGAAGAGGAGAGGGUAAAGGAGUCUCAUCGUAGAUUGAGAAGAACACCUCACACUGCCCGUCCGGCGGGGGGAUCUCCCCGCCGAAGAAGUUCCCUCCGAGGUGGAGGUGGCGGAGGUUGGGCAUUUCAGCGACGGCGAGAGGCAAGUCACCGGUCAUAUUGUUGUUGUAGAUGUCGAGUACCUCGAGGUUCUUGAGCUGGGCUAGCUGCGAGGGGAAAGUAUCAUUAAACCCAUUGUUGGAGAGAUUGAGGUAGCGGAGGUCGGUGGCGGCGGAGAGCUGCGGCGGGAUGGGGCCAGAGAAUUUGUUGACGUCGAGGGAGAGGUUCUGGAGGUAGCGGAGGUGGGAGAUAUCCGGGGAGAGGGUUCCCGUGAGGGAGAGGCUAGAGAGGUCUAAUGAGGUCACGUGACGGCUGGAGAAGUCGCACGUGACUCCCGGCCAGGAGCAGAGGUCGGCGGAGGAGUUCCAGGCGGAAAGGAAGGAGUUUGGGUCGUCGGUGACGGCGGAUUUUAGGGAGAGUAGAGCUUGGGUUUCGGAUAAUACGCGGCCGGUGGAAGUUGGGAUGUGGAGGUGGAUGAGGAGGAAGAAGAAGAGGAGAGGGUAAAGGAGUCUCAUCGUAGAUUGAGAAGAACUAAUCGCCGCCGGAGACGGCGGAGGGAGGAGGAGGAGGAGGAGGAAGAGGAUGAUGAAGAAGGUAAGUGAGAAGAGUGAGG